rfam:Alligator mississippiensis ScZkoYb_82.1, whole genome shotgun sequence.
UGCUUUGCACAGGUGGCAGUAUUGUAGCCAAUGAAAUUAAUCUGAGGUGCGAUUAUUGCUAAUUGAAAACUUUUCUUGAGAGAUUUGGAUUCAUUUUAAAAGCAGAUCAUAGGUGUUAUAACUUAGUAUAAGUACU